AAUACCCGCUGAACUUAAGCAUAUCAAUAAGCGGAGGAAAAGAAACCAACAGGGAUUGCCCCAGUAACGGCGAGUGAAGCGGCAACAGCUCAAAUUUGAAAUCUGGUCCCUAGGGCCCGAGUUGUAAUUUGUAGAGGAUGCUUUUGGUGAGGUGCCGCCCGAGUUCCCUGGAACGGGACGCCACAGAGGGUGAGAGCCCCGUCUGGCUGGCCGCCGAGCCUCUGUAAAGCUCCUUCGACGAGUCGAGUAGUUUGGGAAUGCUGCUCAAAAUGGGAGGUAUAUGUCUUCUAAAGCUAAAUAUUGGCCAGAGACCGAUAGCGCACAAGUAGAGUGAUCGAAAGAUGAAAAGCACCUUGAAAAGAGGGUUAAAUAGUACGUGAAAUUGUUGAAAGGGAAGCGCUUGUGACCAGACUUGGGCGCGGCGGAUCAUCCGGGGUUCUCUCCGGUGCACUUCGCCGCGUCUAGGCCAGCAUCAGUUCGUCGCGGGGGAAAAAGGCUUCGGGAACGUGGCUCCUCCGGGAGUGUUAUAGCCCGUUGCAUAAUACCCUGCGGUGGACUGAGGACCGCGCAUCUGCAAGGAUGCUGGCGUAAUGGUCACCAGCGACCCGUCUUGAAACACGGACCAAGGAGUCGUCUUCGUAUGCGAGUGUUCGGGUGUCAAACCCCUACGCGUAAUGAAAGUGAACGCAGGUGAGAGCUUCGGCGCAUCAUCGACCGAUCCUGAUGUUCUCGGAUGGAUUUGAGUAAGAGCAUACGGGGCCGGACCCGAAAGAAGGUGAACUAUGCCUGUAUAGGGUGAAGCCAGAGGAAACUCUGGUGGAGGCUCGCAGCGGUUCUGACGUGCAAAUCGAUCGUCAAAUAUGGGCAUGGGGGCGAAAGACUAAUCGAACCUUCUAGUAGCUGG
rnacentral:rRNA from 1 species